CGGCGGAUGGCCGCACACCAUUGAGUCUGGUUCUGCCCAAGGUUUCUACAGGAAAUAAAAGCUGGGAUUUUUGACGUAAGACAAAGACAAACUGACGAAGAAACAAGGUCUGUGACUGAUGAGAUAACAAAUAUUGACCAGCCGUUGGAGCCCGCAUCUGCAUCAGAGGGGGUGGAGAUCGAUGAACAGACACGCUUUUGAAGCACUUUGCAGAGAACUGGGGCACUGCUGCAGAACAGCUGUUUGGCCGCAUUGUUUACAACAGGGAACAACUGAUCACGCUGUCCCCAGUGAGAUCUGGAGGAGGACACACCGAGGAUGCAGAGGUGGAACAAAGCGGCGAGGGAAGAGAGAGGGGUCCAGACAAAAGAGCCCUAAGAACAAGAGAUUUAAGCCGUGUCUGCCUUUUCUCAUCAUGGGCAAUGUAAGAUUACUGGUGAAUAAAAUGGAUGAGAUAAUGGCAUUAGCCCAGAGUCAGAUGGAGUUUCGUGAGUGUAGUUUGAUGUGCUUCUCACAGACAUGGCUACAUCAGUAUAUCCCGGAUCAUAACGUUUCCAUCGACGGCUUUGAGACUGUUCGGGCCGACAGGGAUCACACUGGGAGCGGUAAGCGGAAAGGAGGCGGGCUUGCUGUUCUGGUCAACAGAUGGUGUAACCCUGGUCACGUUACUAUCAAGCAGAGUAUCUGUAGCCUGGACAUUGAACUGUUAGCUGUGGGACUCCAGCCAUAUUAUUUGACACAUAAAUUUUCACAUGCCAUUGUUAUAGCUGUUUACAUCCCCCCCUCUGCUAACCCGGCAUUGGCGUGCAACGGCAUUCAUGCCAUAGCACAACUCCAGACUCAGCACCCGAGUGCACUCAUUUUAAUCUCGGGUGACUUCAACCAUGUCAGUGUAUCAACAACACUGCCUAAUUUCACCUAGUAUGGGACUUCUCCUACUAGAGAGGAGAGGACACUGGACCUGCUGUAUGCUAACUUU